UGGGGAAUUUUGGACAAUGGGCGCAAGCCUGAUCCAGCCAUGCCGCGUGUCUGAAGAAGGCCUUCGGGUUGUAAAGGACUUUUGUCAGGGAGGAAAUCCCGGUUGCUAAUACCGACCGGGGAUGACAGUACCUGAAGAAUAAGCACCGGCUAACUACGUGCCAGCAGCCGCGGUAAUACGUAGGGUGCAAGCGUUAAUCGGAAUUACUGGGCGUAAAGCGUGCGCAGGCGGUUGUGCAAGUCUGAUGUGAAAGCCCCGGGCUCAACCUGGGAACUGCAUUGGAGACUGCACGGCUAGAGUGCGUCAGAGGGGGGUAGAAUUCCACGUGUAGCAGUGAAAUGCGUAGAGAUGUGGAGGAAUACCGAUGGCGAAGGCAGCCCCCUGGGAUGACACUGACGCU
rnacentral:rRNA from 1 species